GGGCACAUGGUGUAGCUGGUUAUCACGCCCGCUUAGCAUGCAACUCUCCAGCUUCCGUCCUGCGGGCGGCCCCCGGUUCAAGUCUGGGUGUGUCCA